rnacentral:lncRNA from 1 species
ACAUGAGAUGCUCUCUUCAGUCCGGGGCUUGGUUGAACGGACUCACCAGGAAACGUGACUUUCGUGUCCGACCUCUGCUGUAUCAGGAUUCGAUUCUUGGUGUUAAACAAGACAACGCUGAAGGCUCGGUGCAGCAGCCCUGCAAAGGUAAGUGCCAUUUGUGUGAGUGCAUGCCUGGAGUCUGUACGAUUGUCCUUCGUGCUUUUUGUCCUCAGUCUGUUUCUCGUAGAAAAGCCUGUGAUUGUGGCACCUGGGCAGGGCAAAGGGGACUGCUGGAUGCCCAAACACAACGUUUCAGAAUCUCAGCGGAUUAGAACACUCGGGAAACUAAAAAUAGAUCUACCAGAUGACCCAGAAAUCCCACUACCAGGGCAAAUAUCCAAAAUAAAAGAGAUCAGUCUAUCAGAGAGAUAUCGCAGCAUUCCUGGGUGCUGAGCACCAUUUACGACAGCCAAGAUAUGAGAUCAACCUGUGUCCGUGGAGGUUUGAAGGGUUGAAAACAUGAGGGUUAGAUACACAGUGGCAUACCAUUCCACCACAAAAGAAGAAUGAAAUCGGGCCGGGUGCGGUGGCUCACGCCUGUAAUCUCAGCACUUUGGGAGGCUGAAGUGGGCGGAUCACGAGGUCAGAAGAUCGAGACCACCCUGGCUAACAUGGUGAAACCCCGUCUCUACUAAAAAUACAAAAAAAUUAGCUGGGCGUGGUGGCAGGUGCCUGUAGUCCAAGCUACUCGGGAGGCUGAGGCAGGAGAAUGGCAUGAACCCAGGAGGCAGAGCUGGCAGUGACCUGAGAUUGCACCACUGCACUCCAGCCUGGGCAAUGGAGCAAGACUCUGUCUCAAAAAAAAAAAAAAAAAGAAGAAUGAAAUCCUGUCAUUUGUAGCAACAUGGAUGGAACUGGAGGCCAUUGUGUUAAGUGGAACAAACCUGGCACAGAAAAACAAGUAUCACAUGUUCUCACUGCUAUGUGGGCUCUAAAGAAGUUGAUCUCAUGGAGGCAGAAAACACAAUGCUAGACACCAGAGGCUGCGAAGGGCAGUGGGGAGGGAUGACGAGAGGGUGGUUAAUAAGUAUAAACAUACCGCGAUAGAGAAGGAAUAAUAUCAGCUGUUCAAUAGCACAGUAGGGUGACUGUAGUUAACAACAGUGUAUUAUAUGUUUCAAUGUGGCUAGAACAGAGGAUUUGGAAUGUUCCCAACACAAAGAUAUGAUGAAUGUUUGAGGUGAUGGAUAUCCCAAAAUGCCCUAUUUGAUCAUUAUGCAUGACAUGGUGGUAUCAAACUAUCACAUGUACCCCAUUAAUAUGCAUAAUUAUUAUGUGUUUAUAAAAAAGACACAAA